rnacentral:rRNA from 1 species
AUGGAGGAAGGAGACGGUGGUGGCGCUGGCGGCGUGGGUGAGGGGGCGGUGCGUGACGGGGUCGAUCCCCCUGCCCAGCAGCUUCCUCCGGAUGUGCGUGUUCCAGUAGUUCUUGAUCUCGUUGUCCGUCCUCCCGGGGAGGCGCGCGGCGAUGAGCGACCACUUGUUGCCGAGCAGGCUGUGGAGCUUGACGAUGAGGUCGUCCUCGUCGCGGGUGAAGUUGCCGCGCUUGAGGUCGGGGCGGAGGUAGUUGAUCCACCUGAGGCGGCAGCUCUUGCCGCAGCGCAGCAGGCCGGCGGCGCCGGGCAGCGAGCGCCAGCAGCCCUCCCCGUGCGCCCGGACGUGGGCCACCAGCCGCUCGUCCUCCUCCCUCGUCCACGCGCCCUUGUUGGUGUGCGCCUUCUCGCAGCACGGCGACCGACCCAUGGCCGAUCUUUGAUGGUGGUCUUGCUUUUGCUUAGCUCACGUGUGGGUGUGGCGUGGCGUGUGCGGGCUAGAUUGGGGGGAGGAAAGGGCGGGCGGACUUAUAUAGACGGCCCCUCUCAUCUGCUUGCUCUCUUGGGAAGGGAAGGUAGGCGCGCGCGGGAGAGAAAGAGAGGGAGAGAGGAUGAUGGAUGA